CAGACGGGGGAGCGGUUUGGGCGCCGCGAGCCAGCCUUGCGGCUUCUGGGCUUCUGGCUUCUGGCAUCUUUCCAGGACGAGCGGAGUCCGGGCCGGACGGGGCCUCCCCUCCGGGCGCUGCGCUCUGGGCACCGGGCUGACCCUGGGGGUUGGCAGACGCUCCUGGCCGGUUUUGAUCACUUAAUUGGCUGAGUCACAGCGCAGCUCCUCCAAGUGGCACUCUCUGUUCCUGGAACGCCCAAGGUCUCGGGCAGCCUCCCAGCCUUGGCACAAGCGGCUCUCCUAGAACACCAUUCAGCUUUGCCCUUGCCAACCCCGACUGUGCUCUUUAAGUCUCCUCUUCAGAGAUGGUCCUGGAUUCGGUGCUGAGGUCACCCUGCCUUGUGCUCCCAGGGUUGCCUGCCUUCCCCACCCCACGUGAAUGGGCCGAGCAGCCCGGUGCCAGGCCCUUUUGAUCUGUCCCCUUCCUUCAUCUUCUGACCUGCCACCAGAGUGGCCUUUCUGAGACACAGCUGUGACCCAUCACUGCUGCUCAGAUGCCCUGAACUUUAUCAAAAAUCCCACCCCCCCCUUCAGCCCCAAAGCAGAGUCCCUUCGCCAAGCCACCUUCUCUCCAGCCAUGGAGAUCCCAGCCUUGACGAUUAUAUUUAAUACCUUAGACUUCACCUGUUACUCAGCACGACAGACCCCUGUUGCCACCCUGUGCACUCCCCAAGGCCAGGGGGUCAGUGUGCCACCUGCCCUUACAUGGCACCUUCAUCCGGAGGUCAUGUGGCCCCAGCAGCAGAGAGAGAAAUACGAGAAGUCAGCCCCAGACACCAGGACCCAGUGGGGGACAGGGACACUGCCUCUGCUUUGGCAAGGAAUGGUGGGGGGACCUUGGUGGGUCAUCUGAGCUGUGUUUCCUGACCUUGUCCCAGUGACAGCCGCAGUUGUAAUUCCAAACGAGAAAACUCAAAAGUUAUAAGCAAGCGCAAUUUUUUUUUUUUUUUUUUUUUUUACUUAUUUAAAAAGGCCGUGGUGGCAGGAAUAUAGUGUAAAAAUCAUUGGAAAAACUAAAAGGCAUCGAUACAUAUCCGAAUAUACACUUUGUACAUAAAUUACAUUUCCUUUA